rnacentral:rRNA from 1 species
CCUACGGGAGGCAGCAGUGGGGAAUUUUGGACAAUGGGGGCAACCCUGAUCCAGCAAUGCCGCGUGAGUGAAGAAGGCCUUCGGGUUGUAAAGCUCUUUUGUCAGGGAAGAAACAGCAGCUCUAACACAGCUGUGAAUGACGGUACCUGAAGAAUAAGCACCGGCUAACUACGUGCCAGCAGCCGCGGUAAUACGUAGGGUGCAAGCGUUAAUCGGAAUUACUGGGCGUAAAGCGUGCGCAGGCGGUUAUAUAAGACAGGUGUGAAAUCCCCGGGCUUAACCUGGGAAUUGCAUCUGUGACUGUAUAGCUAGAGUGUGUCAGAGGGGGGUAGAAUUCCACGUGUAGCAGUGAAAUGCGUAGAUAUGUGGAGGAAUACCAAUGGCGAAGGCAGCCCCCUGGGAUAACACUGACGCUCAUGCACGAAAGCGUGGGGAGCAAACAGGAUUAGAUACCCUGGUAGUCCACGCCCUAAACGAUGCUGACUAGUUGUUCGGGAUUUUAUCCUGAGUAACGUAGCUAACGCGUGAAGUCAGCCGCCUGGGGAGUACGGUCGCAGAUUAAAACUAGAAAGAAUGACGNGNGAGAGAGCGAGACGACGACGAGGGAGGAGG